rnacentral:lncRNA from 1 species
AGGUGAAUUUAAAAGGCAGACAACUCUCAGCAAUCCCUGGGCCAACAAGCAUUUUCUAAGGUGCUGCUACUCCACAGACUUUCAUUUCACUACUUUGUACCCCUCUUGACCUUGGACUGGCAAAUCGGAUGGCAUCCUUCAUCUGCUCCUUUUGGCAUGUCACAUUCAGAUCCCCUUCAAUUAUGGGCUGAAUUCUGGCAAAGGAUUAUACUUGGUUAAAUAACAAAAACAAAGGAACAAUUAACCAUCUCCAACAAUGACAGAAAAACAAUAUUCCAUCAUCAUCACAUAAUACAAUUU